CGCCCACAAAAGCAGCGAGUCGCUGCCGGAACGGCGUUGCCUCAGUCGAUGCACAGAACUGGGGCACUUUAGGGAAAGUUAACUAUUUAUUCAUGGGUUAAAGUAUUGCCGUAGUGCCGGAAAUCCCGCGUAUGAUAUUUCUGGUAACACGUCCCCCCCCCAAAAAAAAUGCUCAUGUGACGUGCGCGAGCGUUCUACAUAGAGGUGUACGUGCACUGUAAAAACAUCAACCAUCUGGAGGCGGCGGCGCCGCUCACUGCGGACAGGCUUACCGAGUUUCACAUGCGGGGAGUGGAGCAGUCAAGAGCUUCGCAAUCGAGAAGUCUGCAGGCUGCCGGUUGUCUGUCUAUUCCUGGGCAGUCCACAGUGGCCAGUCAGGUAGCCGCUCUGUGCCAAAAUGAAGCAUAUAACCCCGAGGAAUGUUUGAAGUGUAGUGCAGCUAGCGGGCUAGCUAGCUGGCUAUCUGCCAUCUUAAAGCACAACCAAGUGAUCCACCAUGCCGUCACAGUUUGUGGGCUGGAUGUCGCUGGCUAAGCACAGUGUCGCCGUCCAAGGGUUCGAUAUGACGUCGAUCCACCCAUUUUAUUUCCUCCCUGAUGGAGUCCACAUUUCAACACUGCUUCGGCAAGCUUGGAGGGCAUUAUUGUGGUCAUCAUGGAGCCGUGGCCUCUUUUCCUGGGAUACUUUGCCUGCUGCUUUGGUCGAUGUGAAGCGCAUCAUUGGCAUCUGUGGUAAAUAUAAAGUCCCAAUGAAAAUAAA